GGGGAAUUAGCUUAAUGGUAAAGCCACUGUAGAUAAUGCAGUAGAUCCGGUUCGAAUCCGUUAUUCUCCACAA
rnacentral:tRNA from 1 species